GACGAACGCUGGCGGCGUGCUUAACACAUGCAAGUCGAACGGAAAGGCCCUGCUUUUGUGGGGUGCUCGAGUGGCGAACGGGUGAGUAACACGUGAGUAACCUGCCCUUGACUUUGGGAUAACUUCAGGAAACUGGGGCUAAUACCGGAUAGGAGCUCCUGCUGCAUGGUGGGGGUUGGAAAGUUUCGGCGGUUGGGGAUGGACUCGCGGCUUAUCAGCUUGUUGGUGGGGUAGUGGCUUACCAAGGCUUUGACGGGUAGCCGGCCUGGGAGGGUGACCGGCCACAUUGGGACUGAGAUGCGGCCCGGACUCCUCCGGGAGGCAGCAGUGGGGAAUAUUGCACAAUGGGCGGAAGCCUGAUGCAGCAAAGCCGCGUGCGGGAUGACGGCAUUCGGGUUGUAAACCGCUUUCGCCUGGGACGAAGCGUGAGUGACGGUAAUGGGUAAAGAAGCACCGGCUAACUACGUG
rnacentral:rRNA from 1 species